rnacentral:tRNA from 1 species
GAACUUGUAGUUUAUUUAGAAUAAUUCAUUUACAAUGAGUAGGGUGUGGGUUUU